AUGAAAGCAGUUGCUGUCAUCGUGCUCCUGCUCCUCGCCUCCAUGUGCCUCCAGGCACAGGCUAGGCUCCUGGAUGACUUUGAGGUGGGAGCAAGCAGAGCUUUUGAUUUAGGACUUAAGUUGCUACGAGGAAAGCGGAACUCCCAUCCCCUUCCCCCUGUGCUGGCGCUCCCAGAUCCCGUGGUUGUGAAUCUUCCUAUCAAGGUGAGUGACACUGGGGGGACCCCUGUAUCCUGCAGGGUCCUGGGCUGUGGGGGGACCCUCAAUCCCUCUGGAUUGGGAGGUGUGGAGGAGAUCAAAAAGGAUCCAAGGAGAACAGUGCCGUCCCUGUAAGGUGCAGGUGAUCGUUGUGGUACCAUAAGGACCCCAUAAGGUCACCCACAGAACACAAAGGGUUCUGGUGCCAUACAGACCAAAUAAAGUGACCAUAAGGUCACUGUCA
rnacentral:lncRNA from 1 species